GCUGGGGAUUAUGGCCUGCAACCCAGGCAUGUGCCCAGGAAUGGGAAUUGAAAUGGUGAGUCUUUGAUUUGCAGGCCAGCACUCAAUCCACUGAGCCAUACCAGCCAAGG